GCUGUUGAAGUGGUGUGCACCUGUAGUCCCAGCUACUCAGGAGGCCAAAGCUGGAGGAUCUCUUGAGUCCAAGAGUUCUGGGCUGUGCUGAUCAGAUGUUGCUGCACUAAGUUUGGCAUCAAUAUGGUGACCUCCCAGGAGUGGGGGACCACCAGGUUGCCUAAGGAGGGAGGAACCAGUCCAGGGCGGAAACAGAUCAGGUCAAGAAUGAGAUCAAUUAGCAAUGAAUUAAAGCAUUUGCAGCAACACUCUGUUGAACUGAAUCAUAUCAUAGGUUAUUU
ensembl:misc_RNA Metazoa_SRP Metazoan signal recognition particle RNA